rnacentral:lncRNA from 1 species
GUAAAAUAAUCAGAACUAAAACCAUACCUAACUAGAAUAUUACCCCAUGAAUAUUUCUGUAAACUGUGGUUAUGAAAAGGACAUUUCUCCAAAACAAAAUACAGAGGAAGGUAAAUAAGAAAUAAUUUACAUUUCCAAGUGUUUUACUAAAUCUAUAUCUCUAUGGGAUUAUAUCUGUGUAGGAUUACUCACAGGUGUAAAUUUUAUUCAGGUUGAGGCUUCAUAUUAUUCUUGAUCGUGUCCCCUUCUUUCUUCCAUUUAUAAAUCUCUUUCUGAGGCUCAUUUCAAUGAUCAAUCUUUUUAUUAUAAAAUUUAAAGUAUUUGCUGUAACAUUAAUUAAUUUUUCCCUGCUGUAAUUAUUAGAACUGAGCAAAUAAUUCACAAUGAAUAAUUCAUCUGCUGAACGUAACCUCAUUUUCUACUUGCUGAAUAUCUGCUAGCAAAUCUGCUUUCUGGUUUAUUUGUUAAUCAAAAUCAUCUGACCACUUCUGGGGAAUAUUUUUAAAUGUGGAUUGAGCCUAAACAGCUUCCUGUGAGCUUUUGAUAUGCAGUGCUUGCAACAUGAUCUGUGUUGUUAUAGCUUCAAGGUGAAAUUCUUUACCUGGAUGAUGAGUUUUCACAGUAGCGGAGGCCCAUCUCUCAGAUACCUGUAAGACAUUGAAGGAAGACCAUCUGAGCCCACAAAAUCCAGAGACACUACAUGAAAUACUACCUGGGUCCUUUUCUUCAUUGUUGUACAAUGGGGGAGAAUAUGUUAUAGCAUAAAGAGCUAUAAGCUCGGCACAAGAAAAAGAAGAAGACAUUGGACAAUGGGCAGUAUGUCAGCGAGUUCUACCUAUUUUAUUCCACAAAAAACAACUGUUGUUAUGCUUGUUAACUGAAUUAAUGAGUUUUCCUUGAUUGACAUAAGGUUCUGGUAAGAAUUAAAAAGGAAACUGAAAUGAACAUUACCAUUGCUUUAAAGGCAAUUGAAACAAUUGCCUUCUCAUUCUCCCAAUAACCUCUGAAUAUUAGAUUUAAUAAAGUAAGGUUCCAAAAUUUUAAAUAGUGUUGU